GGGGGGCGCGGACACGCGUGGUGUGCGCGGUCCCCGUGCAGCCCGCCCUGCCGCAGGCUGCCCUCCACCCCCAGCCCCAGCUCCAGCCCCCAGCCCGUCCCCACUGCUCAUAUCCGAGCAGAUAGACCCCGGCCCCACCCUCCCGUGCUGAGCCUCCUUUCUGCCGGGAAGUUCGUCCGGGAGUCAAACAUCGCUGCCCUCCGGUUGCGCCACGGAGGGGGAGCCAGGAUAGGAAGCUGCCGUGAAAUCAGGAAGCUGAGCGCGCCGGGCCCCGGAUCCGAACAGAAAAGGCUUCCACCCGCUCCCCUGAGGGAUCCCACGCUGAGGGACUGAACCCCGCACCCCAGCCGCGCUCACCACCCCCACCCUCUCGCCUGGGCUGCUCUGACCUGGGGGUGAGUCUGGGGUCCCCAACUGGUCCAGUCCCCCAUCCCUAUCCCAGGGCGGCGGAAUGCAUCCAGAUUUGACAAAUUUCAGGAGUUGCCCAACUAAGGAGUCCACUGUUAACUCAGUUUAAAAACUGAGUAUCUGCAGUGAGAAGUUAACUACAAUAAGUUAUGUUGUAUUCACUAAGAAAAUAGACAUUCCUUUCAGUUCUGAGGAGACAAAAGUUAAUUGUACUUCCCCUGCAAAUUCUUAUGUGUAUACUAAAAAUAUCACCAUGAAUGUUUUCUCUGGGAGUGAGUGACAUGUGCUGCACUGCCUAGUGCGCUGCCGUUAGGGAGGGAAAUGUAGAGGCUGUAGGUAAAUGGACUGUCUCUAGGUAGAAACUCACACAUGGGAUGUGACAUAUUCCUCCCUCAGCAAAGACAUCUUUAUGCAGGUCAUUUUAACUAGAUGACAACAAAGUGUAGAGGAAAUCUGGAUUUUCCAGGGGAGGAAGACCAAACAUCAUUAAUGCUUACCUGUGUAGGUUAAAAUCUCUGCCUGACAUUCUCUCUAGCUCCACCUCCUACACCCACCACUAACACUCAGCUAGGAGAAGAAAAGGAGCUGCCAAAGGAGAUGAGGUGUCUUCACUGGCUGGGUCAGCAGAAAGAUAAAACAUGAACAGACUCAGACUUAGACUAAGUAUAUAUUUUAAUUUCUACAAGGUCCCCUUUCAAGUUUUAGGGAAAUUUAACUGAAGUGUAUAC
rnacentral:lncRNA from 1 species